UCGAUUAGAGUUUGAUCAUGGCUCAGAACGAACGCUGGCGGCGCGUCUUAAGCAUGCAAGUCGAGCGGUAGCGCCUCCAAUUAAGCGUCCAACCUAGGGGUUGGGUGUUUAAUUGGAGGCGUGAGAGCGGCGGACUGGUGAGUAACGCGUGGGUGACCUACCUUGGGGAUGGGGAUAGCCGUUAGAAAUAGCGGGUAAUACCGAAUACGUUUGAUUUACUAUGGUAGAUUGAGCAAAGGGGCUACGGCCCCGCCUUAAGAUGGGCCCGCGUCCUAUUAGGUAGUUGGUGUGGUAAAGGCGCACCAAGCCUAUGAUAGGUAGCCGGCCUGAGAGGGUGAACGGCCACAUUGGGACUGAGAUACGGCCCAAACUCCUACGGGAGGCAGCAGCUAAGAAUAUUCCGCAAUGGACGAAAGUCUGACGGAGCGACGCCGCGUGGAUGACGAAGGCCGGAAGGUUGUAAAAUCCUUUUGCCGCUGAAGAAUAAGCAGGGUAGGGAAUGCCCCUGUGAUGACGUUAGGCGGUGAAUAAGCCCCGGCUAAUUACGUGCCAGCAGCCGCGGUAACACGUAAGGGGCGAGCGUUGUUCGGAAUUAUUGGGCGUAAAGGGCGCGUAGGCGGUCUUUUAAGUCUGGAGUGAAAGCCCGCGGCUUAACCGCGGGACUGCUUUGGAAACUGGAAGGCUGGAGUCAUAGAGGGGAGGCCGGAAUUCCUGGUGUAGGGGUGAAAUCUAUAGAUAUCAGGAAGAACACCGAUGGCGAAGGCAGG
rnacentral:rRNA from 1 species